UCGGCAGUCCACAUUGCAUCAAACCAAGAAGUCAAUAUGAAAAGAGGUAUUUUUUCUAAAUUAUUAGAGAAUGCACUUUGUUUGUCCCGGAAGGUCACAGCUUCUAUCCAGGAAAGUUUAGUGUGUAUACACAUAGUUGUGAAGUUCACUUUAUAUUUUCUGGAGUAGUACAUUUCGUCCAGCAUGGGAGUUCACACUUUUUUGUCGAUGUGAACUACAGUGCUGCCAGGCAUUAAUGCAUCGAUCAGGCAACCUAGACAAUGCAUGGAGCCCUGAAUUUCAGGUGCGCCACCAUGGUCUACCAGGAGCACCAAGCGUGAACUCCUGUCAAUUUCUUUUGCGUUUUUAUUUCAUGAGAAAAAUUUCACUUGAGAAUUUGAAAAGCGUCACUAGACCUGAGCUUGUACGUGUAUGGUUAUGAACUUGCGUAUUUUUUAGUUCUUUAUUUUUUAUGGAAAAAAAUGAAUCAAGCAUGGGAAAAACAUGGUACAAGUAUGUGCAGAUGUGUGUCUGGCUAUAAAAAGUAGAAGUUCCUUUAGUUUACAAACAAAGUUUAUGUUUCAUUUUGUACAUGCUCACUACUGUCGGUUCAUCUAGAAAAAAAAUAGCUUUUCUAUGUGUACACAUAAAAUCAAUUCAUGUGUGCUUUAUUUGUUGUUUGCUAUGGAGAAGUUCACUAAUUUGUUUUUGGAAAGUUCACUCUUACGCGGUUAGCUAUGUCUAUGGGUAAGUGUCGAUGGUACAGACAUAGAAAACUAGAAGUUCGGAUUUAAUUGUUGAGCGGUGCAGUUCACAUGGGCGUUGGCGAACAUCCCUCGGUGCACAUACCUCCGCAUCGGCAUUGGUGAACAUCAGUGCACACCAAGUUCCUUGUCGGGAUGAGAUGUUUUUGCAACUGACUUGCUAUGAAGUUCACAUCUCUUUUUAGGUCAUGGCCAUGCAGGGAGUUAGCUUCAUCUCUAGAAGAACUUCAAUUUGGGUUGAAAAGAGCACUGUCAUGGACUCCUGCAAGCACAGCUCUAGACUUCCGCGAGUGACAGUGUGGUCUUCACGACCAUUGUCGUUGCCGCUGCUGCUUCAAGCGACAUGGUGUCUGGUUCUAGCGAGCAGUCGUUGCGCUGCUUCACUCUGCUGUCGGCGCCCGUGAGCUUCUCUUAGCUAGUGUGGUCCGGUCGUUGCAUGUUGACAUAGGGCUGUACGCAGCCUUGGAGACACAAGUACUUGCCUGCCCACGACGUAGCUUCGUUUUUGAAUAUGUUGUAGGGGUAAACGUUUUUUUGUGUUACCUGUUGAGCAACUGCUCGUGAGAGCUGAUACUAUUUUUCUGUAAAUUUGUGACACCCCUUUUUCCCAUGUCGGAUAGAGAGCUGAGAGGUUCAGAGAGGACACGUGAUGUGAAGUUCAGUUAAGACUACAUUGAAGUUCACAUAGCCCAUCUUAUGUGAAGUUCAGAGAAAAAUAGUUUGUUGAAAUUUAGUUACUUUUAGCUGAAGUCA